GGGGUUGUGGCUCAGUGGUAGAGCACUUGCCUCACUUGUAUGAGGACCUGGGUUCCAUUCUCAGCACCA
rnacentral:tRNA from 1 species